AUGGAGCAGCUGCGUCCCAAUUCUUGCCUUUAUGGUCUCUCCCAGAACCCUGAGUCAUCUGGGGCAGCCAGAAGGAACUGGGAAUCUUGGGAAACGAUUUCCUUGAUGGUUUGGCAUCCCAGCAUACAAAAAAUGAGGGCUGAGUCGCAAUCUCCCUGGGAGAGAAAAAGAGGGCCUGGUGGAAACAGCUCUGAGCACACACAGGCUAUUUUGGCUUCCUGCCCUUUGCUUUGGUCUUGCCUGAACCUCUCUUGGGUCUCAAGGGUCUUCAUUUUGUCCUUACUGCCAACAGUAACCGGAACUCUGACAGUCAGAAGAAGGAGAAGGAAGAGAAGGGAGCUGGAGAGCAUCAAGCAGGUACAGCCAGGUGCAUUCAAAGGAAGUCAAGACAGACACCAUCUGCCACCAGCAUCUGGAGGUCAGGGCUCAGCUGGGGCAAGAGGUAACAGCAGGCAGGAGAAGUUAACACAAACAGAGGAAAGAAUCUGGGGACCUGAGGCCCAAGGGUACUGAUAUGGGGUCUUAGGAGGCAGGCAGGAGGGAGGAAGGGCUGUACCAGUCACACUAAGGAGGGAAGCCUGCUCCAACCCCAAGUCUUGGCCUUGUCAGGCUCUCCUGGCCACCCCUAGGCCUGGCCCAGCUCCCCACGAGCCUCACUUCACCCUAGUGGAGAACUUGCUCCAAAGCCCUCGUUUGAAGUUCCAACUCAGCUAGCCCCACCCAGCCAGCAUGAAAUCUGAGACUGGGAUGGAGCCCUGAACCUUCGCUGCUCCAAAAAAUUGCUCCAAUUUCCAACUGGUAGUGAAAUACAUCAGCCUGGCUUCUUUCCUAUUCUUUAAGGCCUUGUCCAGCUCUCUUUCUCCGUGAAGAUCUCCCAAACCUUCCCGGCAUGCUGUGAUCACUCUUUCUCUGCCAGCACCACUACCAUGGGGCAAGAGGUUCCUUGAGCCUUUAAGGGCUUUCCCUCCAAGAUGGCACGUAAGAUAUCUUGGUUUCUGCAGUUGGUUCAUCCACAGAUGUCUUUUGCCCCUUUUGGACUGUAAGCUCUUUGAAGGCAGGGAGCCUGGCUUAUAAUUCUAUCUCUCACAACAUCAAGACCAUGGCCUGGCACCUUUCCAUAAAGGAAUUCUCCAGGCAAGAAUACUGGAGGGGUAACCAUUCCCGUCUCCAGGGGAUCUUCGCACCCAGGGAUUGAACUCAGGUCUCCUGCAUUGCAGGCAGAUUCUUUACUGUCUGAGACACCGGGGAAGCCCAAAUGCAGGGCAGUUGAAUGAAUAAAUGACACAGGAUGGGGUUAGGAAGCUAUUCUCUUUUCCUGAAAACCAAGCCUAUUUUCUCAGAAAAAAAAAAAUGAAGUAAGUGUGUGAGGCACAGAAAACAGGGGGUAAGCCACCAACAUUUAUUUAGUGCUUCCUGAGUGUUAAGCUCUAAUAUGUAUUUUAUAUGUGUUUUCACACUUAAUCUUUACCACCAAGUCUAUGGAGAAACGUAUUAUCAGUUCCAUUUUACAGGUGAGAAAAGCAAAGUCCAGAGAUAAUUGCUGUUCCCAAGAUGCUACAGCUAAUGAGUUGUGGGUCCAGGAUUGAGAACUAUGUCUGCCUGCCUGCAAAGCCCACACUCUAGCCACUUAGCCUUAUGUCCACCCCAAGCCCAGUGAGAAAGAUGGAGGCUAACAUCUGGUUUGCUCACAGCCCAGCUGGGGUGAAGGAGGAAGGGCUGAGGCUUUGGCUUCUCCUCCUCCCACUGGAAGGUCCCUUAUGCCUGCAGUUUGCUCUGCUCCAUCACCCAAAGAGGGGUCCCCUGGGUCAGAACCAGAGCAACCUGACCCCCAGUCCCCCGUGCCACCCACAGGUAUGUCUAGAAUUCCAAGCACCCCGAGUCAUUCCCCUGGCCCUGGCUAUUUGAAGACAGUCUGAAAUCAGAGGCUGGAAGUCGAGGAAAGGUUCUGAUAUCUUAUGCCCUGUGUGUUCUCUUGUCCAUGGCAGCCUGUUCAGGGUCACCCGAUCAGGCAAACGGCUGGAGUGCAAGACCAUCUGGUCACUCUGGUAGGGGGGGGGCAGGGGGGAAUCCCUCUGGGCCCAGCAGGAGUGAAGGGGUUACACCAGGUCUUCAUGGACAAAGAACACACAUACACACACACACACCCUCCGGGGCCCUGACCUGGGCUAAUUAACCUCCAAUGUCUGUAGGAUGGAGAGAGCUGAUAUACAGUAUCUGAGUUCUGUUUUUCCCCCUUUCCACCACCACUUGGCCUUGGCAGGGGCCUCUGGCACACGGGGACAGAAGUCAGUCCCAGCCCUGAGCUGGCUUCUCUGACUUUUGACAGCUGUCUCUGAGGUCUCAGUAAGCUGCUGCUGCUGGUGGGGAAAUGGGAUCCCCAGGGGGCAUGAUCUCAGAGGAUCCCUUGAAAAAAACUUUCUUCCACUUGGACUGGGUUGGGGGGGAGGUCUCAGGAGAGCUGCUUGGAGACUGAGGCCUCCCUGAACCCAGCCGGACAGAUGUGCAGCCCCUAGGGCAGCCCAGACAGACAGGAUGGAAAACACCAGUGUGCUGGAGCCCCGGAUCUGGCAGAAGGGAAAACUGCGUGCACACACACACACACACACACGCACACACACAAGAGUUUGGCCGGAAAAGUUUCCAGUAGAAGGAAAAGCCUCCUUGGCCACAGGUUUCCUCCGGGUAUCCCGGGAGGAACCCUCCUAGGGUCACACCAGAGGUAGCCACUGGGCAGCUCACACCAAUCGCAGGAAAACUUCAGUCCCUACAAUUCCCCCAAACUUCCCCCCACCCCCGACUCUCUCCCUUUCUUUUGUUCCCCACUGCAUUGCCAACCAGGCAGCUCCCAGCUUCCCACACCGGACUGUCCUCCCCCGAACCCUCAAGCAGCCGGCGCCUCCCUCCGGGCCCCGGGCCGCCCGCACCCGGCCCUGGCG
rnacentral:lncRNA from 1 species